rnacentral:sRNA from 1 species
AGGGGAAUUCGGGGCACAAGUCGGGCCGGAGCAUCAGGGCGGCCGUGGCGCGAAGACGCAGGAUCGGCGCUUUGAGAACUGAGCGCAUGUGGAGUUCGGAGGAAAAGGGCGCAGAUCGAAGAUGGAAAAUCCCCAAGACAUUUUCUCAAGUAAUGGUGGCUGUCUAAUUGAUAUAGUUAUAGAAAAAUACCUGGUUGAAUCCAAGGAGUCUGUGUCUCAUGUUCAGCUUGCUUGCAGCAUGCAGGACUGUGCUUUCCCUUUGGAUGGGACUGAACUUUGUAUAUGGAACACUGAGGAUCCUUCUCAUCAGCUUCUAAUCCUACGAGGACACCAUCAGCCAAUUACUGCUAUGGCUUUUGGAAAUAAAGUGAACCCACUUCUAAUCUGCUCAGCAUCACUGGAUUAUGUUAUAAUGUGGAAUCUGGAGGAAUGUAGAGAGAAAGUACUUCAAGGUAAAUGAAAAUCUAAAACAUGUUUUUAAAAACCUACAAAAGGAGUAACUCAUCCUUCAGUAUACUUGGUACCACCCAAGGGGUGUUUCCCUUAGGUAACACCAAUCCCUCGGGGGGAUUUGGGAUAAUUUUGUAUUCCCUUUACCUUGAAACCAGGCAUGCAAGCAGGGUGCUUUAUAUGGGAAGGGCCCCAGGCCAUUCAGACUCACUGACCUUUGCUGUUAUGCUGAUCGUAUAGGCUCAUUGGUUUUGAUCUUAUGUCCCUUUUUAUUUUAAGAACUGUGCAUUUUGUAUCAACCUGAAAAUAUGUAGGAAAGUUGAAAUAUUCUUUUCUUGCACAGGAAGGUGUCUUGAGCACCUGUAAUAUUUCAGGCUGGAGACACAGUGGUGAAUAGGAAGGGCUUGGUCCCAAAUCCUGUGGAAGUCACAGCUCAGAGUUUGAGAGAGACACUGUGUGAGCCAGCGACUGAGUGGCUGUGAAUUGUGAGUGUGCAGAGGAGAAGGCAGAUGAGGCCAGGGCAACGUGCACGUGCAUGGGAGCACUUUGAGAAGCGGGAUCUCAGGGAGGGGCAUGUGGGCUGAGGGUGAGGGUGAGAAGGGAUGAAUGUGCCAAGGCCCUGGGAAGAGUGAGAACCUGCCUGUGUGCUUGGAGCAUGCUGAUGUUAGGAGAGUCUCAUCUGAGGAGGUCGAAAAGUUAGGUGGGGACCACAUUAAGGAAUUUGAGUUUUGUGCAAUUAUAUAGAGAAGUUAGAGGAUUACGUUAAAACCUAAAUGCAAAGAGACUAUAAAUCUAUGUAUUCUAUGUAGGGACAUGAGCACGUGUCUCUCUCUAGACUUGGUGGCUGUGGGACAUGAGCACAUGUGUCUCUCACAGGCUCUGGGUGGAGUAUAUUUGCAUUUUGCUGGUGAUAGGUCCAUGGUGCACACUAGGACCAGAUGACCAUGCCUGCCAUUUUUUCCUUCACUUGUGUGGAUUUGCAUGACGGGCUCUGCAUCAGGCUGCAGCUGCUGCACAUGUUGUCCGGGUCUUGGGAACCUCCUGGCUGCUUGUGGGUGUCCUGACAUUGCUUAGCCCCUGGAGGCCUGGGUUGGAUAGGCCCCUACUCCUUUCCUUCCAACCAGUGUUAGCUGAACCUAGACAUGAGGGUGGACACGGGGUUGGAUGUGGGUGAGAAGCAUCGAAACAUGCAGCUUGAUGUUUUCUCCAGAGAAAGGCAUCUUCCUGUUUCGAUGCUGAGAGAGUCUCUGCAGGGAGGUGCUGCAUUCCCCAGGUUUUCAGAAGACUUCUGUAUAUCCAGUAUUUUUGAUAUUCUUAAAGAAUCAAAAUCACAUCAAAAUUCAUUGUCAUUUUCCCAGUAAUUUUAGAAUAGAGGGUUACAUUCUCAGUACUUUUCUCAGAUGAAUGUAAUGCUGAAUGCAUUUGGUAACUGGCACUAAUGGUGAAACUCACUCUAGGGCUGGUCCCUCGAGGGACUGUCAUGGGCUCGCUUUUGGGAAAGGUGCUGUGUUUACAGUUGAGCCCGGAUGAUCAUGUUGUUGCCGUGUGUGCUGGAAACAAAAUAUUCAUGCUGGAUAUUGAGGUAAGAUUGAAAUUCACACGCGGAUUUCAUGGAAGGGUUUAGCUGAUGGGGCCUCCCAGUUUCUGGGACCUUGCCCAGCGGUCUUUUCUUUUUUUCUGUACUCCUUUUUUUUUAAGCUGUAUCUUCAAUUUAGUUUACUUUUAUGAAAUCAUCUUUAUCUUGCAAUUGGAAAACCACUGGUAUCACAUAGUAAUAUUUAUAUAAAUAUUAAAACUCUCUAUGGAAUCUGGGUCUCAGGUAUGACUUUAGAGAAACAUGUUCUGCAAAAGUUUUAUUUCUCAGAUACUCCCUGAUUGUAGGCACCUUCCCAGCAUAGCGCUUUUGUUUCUAUCUUUUAUCAAAAUGUUCUUUUCAUCAAGAAUCAGACUUUUCGCAGCCAUUUCAUCACCAGGGUUAGUUUAAGAAAAUGUGUCACCUCUUCCUGCCUGUGUGAUUUCAACCUCAUGUGUGACUAGAACAGUCGGCUGCCCCACUGCAAUGUUAAAAAGCAGUGUUUGAAAUCAGGAAGUGGGAAUCUAAGGGAACACGAAGGAGGACUUUUGUUUCCUCUGAAUUGUUGCUCUGCCCAAGCCUGAUUUUGGAGGUGACCCCAGGCCUGGGGUCGUUUCUGUGGCUUUGUCAACAUGGCCGACAAAGUUGUUUGCCUGCAUAGCAUUUCUUUUGAUAGCCACUUAAUAAAUGUAGGCGAGGAAGGAUGUUAGGCAUGGAAUAUUAGUUGGUUCUCAUGGGCCUCAUGUGUAAUAGGCAUUUUGGGAGAGAAGACAUUUAUGUCUUCAAACUAUUUUUGGACUAAUUAUGAAAUUAAGGCUCAUAAAUUUAAAAAGUUCACAUCAUGAGUUAAGCCACAGAGAGAUGAUGGGAAGUAUCUGGGAGUUAGGUAAAGGGCUUCACACUAUUUCUAGUCUAUCUGUGAAAGCUUUCUGGAUAUGUUGGUGUUUGAGCUGUAUUUCAUGUUUUGUUGUAAACAUCCUGUGAUAGAUUAACAUUAGGCCACCCCACCAUUUACAACAAAACUACCAUUAAUGUGCAAAGAAUUAACACUGUUGUGUCAGGGAAAGGAAAACCAAA